AAAAAAAAAGAAAAAUUUCUAACGAUGAAAUAAUCUAGUAUAUCAAGUAGUAUAAACUCUUAUUAAAAGACUUUAGAUGAGCAUAUACAUUGUUUUCUAUGAGAAUACAAAAUUAAAAUCAUCGAUGCGGUAUAAUUCUCCAAAUUUUAAAGUUAAUAUGAUGAGAUAUAAAAUACAUUAUGAUUAUAGAGUGGAAUUAAAAACGAGAUGGAUGAACUUGAAGUUUCAUCAUUUCGAGAAGGAGAAGUAAUGAAUCUCACAUGGAUAAUAAGUGACAUAUCCAGAAGAUUAUGUUCAAUCUUUGACUACUAAAGAUCUAAAAGUUGUAUAAAGCAAUUCUUAUACGAAUGUGUUAUUAGAUAAAAUAAGUUAUAAUUAAUUAUUUCUGAAACUUCAAGACUUGAAGUCUCUUUGUGAAUAUAACUCACAUUGUUAAGAGAAUAUCUAUGAUGCAGAGAUGGUAAAACAGACGCUUAAACUUUUACGCAAGUAUUGUUGUCCUGUAGACACAAUAUUUUGAAAGAAAUUUUGAGAACUAAUAUAAACUUAAAUCGAGUGUUUUUCAAAGGCUAAGAAAACAUAUGAGUUAUCGAUGAUAAGUAAUACUCAUAUUCUGAAGUGAAUAUAAGAUCUUACAUAGUUAGUCAAAUUUAAUAUCGUUUAUACUAGAAUAUAAAAUUUUAAUUAUUAUCUCGUUAUUGUUUUAUUAACAUAUGAUUGAUUAUUAAAAUA
rnacentral:sRNA from 1 species